rnacentral:lncRNA from 1 species
AUGUCAGCAGGAAAGUGCCACUAUCUGUACUUUACACUCAGGGAAUUCAGUCCAGAGAGCACAACCAGGCCACGUGUAGACAGAGGCGCCUACCAACCCUUUCCCCACCACUGCCAGCACAAAGAUGAGGUGGGCUCACAGAAGCAGGAAGCAAGUUUGAAGUUUAAGGUCCAGAAGACACCAGUAUGUAGCCUGAUGCUGUACAGAUCAUGGGACCAACGUCCUCGCUUCAUACAGCUUCCAAGCAUGUAGCACCCAGAGAAAAGAAUCUAAGAAACCUAAAGCUUAAGUGUGAUUUUGUCUUCUCUGCCACUAAAGCAUUUUUUGAGUAUUUUCCCUAGAACUACCACCUAAUAGCAACUAAAUAAAUUGCAUUCUAGGGACA